CCAAAUUUAACCCGCUCAUACCUCUUAAAUUCUGCCAAAAAAUCCAUUUUUAACUUUUUCAUUUUUCAGUGUACAUUUUUUUAGAUUAUUAUUAUCGAAAAAAAAAAAUUCCCGUUCCCUGUCCCGGAGCAAAACAGAGUGAGAGAUUCACUGCGUCUCUCUCUCUCUCUCUCUCUACCAACAAAUGGCUUUCACUUCAUUUCUCGGACGAGUUCCCUUUUCCUCUGUUUCCAUACUCCCCGCAUGUUUAAUGAGCUUUGGGUUGCCGGGGGCCCAGCAGCGAACGCAUUGAAACCAAAGUUUGGUGUGUUUGCCAGUCGUGAGCAGUCUCAUGCUGGCAUACAAGUACCGGAAAUUGAAGUGAGGAUCUCAGCCAUAGAAAAAUUUGAGAGAGAUUGUAGGCUUAUUAGAAAAAUAAAAAAAAAAUUGUGAGAUGUUGAUACUUAUCUUGAACUCUGGUGUGUGGUGAUUGCUUUUUUUCCUCUUUUUUUGUAAUGGCAAUGGGGCAGCUGGCAUCUAGGAUUUCAAGGUGGAAUAUCAUGGGCAUGCUGCUUGGUGACGAAGGGCCUUUCUCGCUUUGUCACACAACACACAAUAUGACAAACCCUGGUUAUGAGAACAUGGAAGCUUUGCUUGGUAGAACUGUUGGUGUUAUUUUAAGGAAGUUUGAAUCAAAGCUGUAAAGAGGCAGCUGUCAUACUGGAUUCUUAUUUCUUAGCAUGCCUCUUGUGUAUUUCCAUGCACACAUUGCAAACAGGUUUAGUGAUUAGAAGACAGUGGCUAAAUGACUUAAAUUAAAUGGUGACCCGUUCAAUUCUUAGGACUGUUUUGCAUUAUUUGAGUGGGUAUCCAUUUUGGCACUCUGGAAAAUCUUUAUAUGCUGGACAACUGAUGAAUGGGACUUGUAUGGGCAACAUGUGCAACCGUGAAUAGAUUUACACCAACAAUUAAUGAUUUUGACUCAUAACCAGAAUGUUUCACACUCCCAGUUGUCUUUUUUUACAUAUUGUUCUGUAAUUUUAGGCGGUAUAUGUAUGCACAGAUCAAACAUUUAUCCACUGCUGCGAUAUUUCUUGAGGGCAUUGGCGGCAUCCUAUUUAUCUUUGGCAGUUCUCUUGGAGCCUACCUACUGGUUGGUGCAAGAAAUAGUAUUUGACUUUUGGUCAUCUAAAGGGUAUAGCUAUGAGCAGUGGUGUAUCAUGUACUCAUUUAAUGAAUAUCAAGGUCCUUUCUUGUUGCAGAUUAUACAUCAGUUGAUUGCUUUUCCAAUCCUAUAUGAUUUCUAAAACUAUGACAGCAAGGAGAAAUAAUUUAAUCAACUUUUUAUCAAAUUCACACAGGUAUGAAGAACUCACUUCCCAGGAGACAGCACAAGUAGAAGGUUCCUAAAACUAUAACUGGUUAGGAACAAAUGGCUAUCAGUUGCAAAUGAAUGCCAUCUUGCUACAAUCAUCUUCGACAUUGCGAAAUAUUUGUGCCUUUUCUGUAUGCAUAUCUUGCCAGAGCUCAUCAAAAUCUUGUCUGACUUUUAUUGGGAUUUGCCGCAAUAAUCUAGCAAUAUUAAAAUGGAAAAGGCUUGUUCAGAUUGGUGCAUCUUAAUACAGGAGCUGCAUACCACUUGUGCCAUUCCAGAGGAAGAGGCGUCUCUCUCAAGCAUUUUGAGGCCAAAAAGAUGAGGGAAAGGACGUGCUCGCUCCAAUGUGUUGUAACUUCUCAAGAUUAAAGACUCCAAGAGCCUAUCGUGUUAACUUUUGUUUUUUAAAUUAUUUUUUAUUUAAAAAUAUAUUAAAAUAACUUAUUUUUUAUUUUAUAAAAAAUAAUAAUAAAUGAAGGUAGCUUUAAGU